rnacentral:rRNA from 1 species
CCCGGCCUGAUCUGUCCAGUGAACACAAUUCAACGGGCGCAGUAUCUUAACUGUGCUAAGGUAGCGUAACCACUUGCUUUUUAAUUGAAAGCUUGAAUGAAUGAUUCGACGAGAAGUUAACUCUCUUAAAUCUCCGAUCAACUUUCUCGGGAGGUAAAAAAGCCCCCCUCCUCCGAUAGGACGACAAGACCCUGCAAAGCUUUACUCGCCGCUCUUAUCAACUUAAAAGACAACCGAGUUUUGCUGGGGCGGCAAAUUCUAAUAGCAACAAAAUUUUUUACAACACCUUGGGUGACAUCCAUUAACCUUUUUUAUGGAAUAAAACAAGUUACUUCAGGGAUAACAGCGCUAUGCUCCUCUAGAGUCCCUAUCGACAGGAGCGUUUGCGACCUCGAUGUUGAAUUGAAGCGCCUACUUGGGGCAACCCUCAAGCGAGGGAGUCUGUUCGUCU